AUGACUAUAGCCCUUGGUAGAAUUCCUAAAGAAGAAAAUGAUCUAUUUGAUACUAUGGAUGACUGGUUACGAAGGGACCGUUUUGUUUUUGUAGGAUGGUCUGGCCUAUUGCUCUUUCCUUGUGCUUAUUUCGCUUUAGGGGGUUGGUUUACAGGGACAACUUUUGUAACUUCUUGGUAUACCCAUGGAUUGGCUAGUUCCUAUUUGGAAGGUUGUAAUUUCUUAACCGCAGCAGUUUCUACCCCUGCCAAUAGUUUAGCACACUCUUUGUUGCUACUAUGGGGGCCCGAAGCACAAGGAUAUUUUACUCGUUGGUGUCAAUUAGGCGGUCUAUGGACUUUUGUAGCUCUCCACGGGUCUUUUGCACUAAUAGGUUUCAUGUUACGCCAAUUUGAACUUGCUCGGUCUGUUCAAUUGCGGCCUUAUAAUGCAAUCUCAUUCUCUGGUCCAAUUGCUGUUUUUGUUUCUGUAUUCCUUAUUUAUCCACUGGGGCAAUCUGGUUGGUUCUUUGCGCCGAGUUUUGGCGUAGCAGCGAUAUUUCGAUUCAUCCUUUUCUUCCAAGGAUUUCAUAAUUGGACGUUGAACCCAUUUCAUAUGAUGGGAGUUGCCGGAGUAUUAGGUGCGGCUCUGCUAUGCGCUAUUCAUGGAGCGACCGUAGAAAACACUCUAUUUGAGGACGGUGAUGGUGCAAAUACCUUCCGUGCUUUUAACCCAACUCAAGCUGAAGAAACUUAUUCCAUGGUCACUGCUAACCGCUUUUGGUCCCAAAUCUUUGGUGUUGCUUUUUCCAAUAAACGUUGGUUACAUUUCUUUAUGCUAUUUGUACCCGUCACCGGUUUAUGGAUGAGUGCUAUUGGCGUAGUUGGCUUGGCUCUGAACUUACGUGGCUAUGACUUUGUUUCCCAGGAAAUCCGUGCAGCGGAAGAUCCUGAAUUUGAGACUUUCUACACCAAAAAUAUUCUUUUAAACGAGGGUAUUCGUGCGUGGAUGGCAGCUCAGGAUCAGCCUCAUGAAAAUCUUAUAUUCCCUGAGGAGGUUCUACCACGUGGAAACGCUCUUUAA
rnacentral:rRNA from 1 species